UGCUCCAGUGGCCUAAGUGGUUAGAGCGUCUGUCUCGGAUGCCGGAGGUAGUGGGUUCGAACCCUGACCUGGUCAU